UACGGGGGGAGCAAGCGUUGUUCGGAUUUACUGGGCGUAAAGGGCGCGUAGGCGGCGCAACAAGUCACUUGUGAAAUCUCCGGGCUUAACUCGGAAAGGUCAAGUGAUACUGUUGUGCUAGAGUGCGGAAGGGGCAACUGGAAUUCUCGGUGUAGCGGUGAAAUGCGUAGAUAUCGAGAGGAACACCGGUGGCGAAGGCGGAUCUCUGGGCCUUACCUGACGCUCAGGCGCGAAAGCUAGGGGAGCGAACAGG
rnacentral:rRNA from 1 species